rnacentral:lncRNA from 1 species
UUGACCAGUUGCCGAUAUUUUGUGAGAACUGGAUAGGCCUUACCGAUUCUUGGUCACAUAGAAACAUUUCCCUCUUUUGAAACUUUGUUAAAUAUAGCAAACUAUACACCAUGAUGAGAGAGAGGGGGUCGAGUCAUCCUUAUCUCUCUAAUCAACGGACCAUGGUUUUUCCACGGUGGUUAUGGACCUUACUUUUUCCUUUGUUGAAACUUCAAACCAGAAGAAAAAAAUGGCGAAAAGUUCUCCCCAUCUGGAGAGGGAGAGAGAGAGAGAGAGGUUGAAGAUGUUAUCCCCAUUUGUGGCGAGAGAGAGAGAGAGAGCCCGAAGCAUAUAAUCCUUUUCCGAAAAGAGAGACAGAGAAAAGGCCCCUUUUGAUAGGGAGAGAGGGAGAGAGAGUACCUGAAGUAUGUUAUCCCCAU